GCGCAUGCGCGGCAGGCCUCUGGGUGGGACGAGCCGGAGACGGAUCCUGUGUACAAAGUGAUCGGCUUCGGCCGCACGCAGUGGCCCCCCCACUCCCCGGGCGAAGUCGGCCGCCUUCCCGCAGAGUCGCAACCACGGCUUCUGUAGGUAACGGCAGGUCCAGGCCGGCGCGUGACCAGGGCCCCCGCGCGACCUGGAAUGGCCCGGGCGCGCGCGGUCUUGUGGGAGUUGUAGUCUUCCGUCCCCGCCCACGUGGACUCCGUUUCCCGUGGUGCCCCGGGAGGCCCGCUUCCGGCGCAGCUACGGGUCGGCGCACGCGGCCUCGGUCCGGUUGACUUUGCGGAGCCAUGGAGGGCGGCUUCGGCUCCGAUUUCGGGGGCUCCAGCAGCGGAAAGCUGGACCCAGGGCUCAUAAUGGAGCAGGUGAAGGUGCAGAUCGCCGUGGCCAACGCGCAGGAGCUGCUGCAGAGGAUGACGGACAAGUGUUUCCGGAAGUGUAUCGGGAAACCUGGGGGCUCUCUGGACAACUCCGAGCAGAAGUGCAUCGCCAUGUGCAUGGACCGCUACAUGGACGCCUGGAACACCGUGUCCCGCGCCUACAACUCGCGGCUGCAGCGGGAACGAGCCAACAUGUGACUGGCGAGCCCGUGGGCCGCCCCGCCCCGUUCAUUUCCACAAACGUGCUCUGAGAGGCGGGGCCCGCAUGUGCGUACUGCCUGCCCGGGGCUUAGCGGGUUGGCACCGGUGCUGGGACAGACAGGACUGUGUCCUCGCCACCCCCCGCCUUGCCCCCUGCCAGCCAGUGCAGCUUGGAUCUCGGGGGUGGGGGGGCCCUGUGCCUUCCCAAAGUGCUGGCAGCCCAGUGGCACCUCCUUCAGGCCUUUGGGGUCUUCCCCUAGUGGGCCCAGGUCAGCCUCAUAUUUUUUGGGCGGAGAACUCUUGUCUGGACUUUGGAGGUGGGGAUGGUCAGACCCCACCGGAGCUGUCACCUCCUGCGGAUGGGCAAAUAAAUUGGUGGAGGGCGGAGAGAAACCUCUUUAUUUCCCUCCUGAGGGAUCUCUGGGAAGAGUUGACGCGUGUCCCUGGAACCCCAGUUCGGAGGGUCUCAGCCUCUCCUGGGUUGGGAGAAGUCCAUCUUUCCCCUUAAGUGCCACCGGGCUGCUGAGUCACGAGGAAUGUGUUGUUGCCACCACCCCUGUCCCAAAGGCUAAGGGGGACAGCCCUCCCCUUGUCCAGGCUUGCUUUGACCCCUCUUCCUUCCACCCGGGUCCUGUUGGAGCGCCAGGCAGGUGGUCCGCGCUGUGACACUGAGGUGCUGAGCCAGUGAGCCGGGGUGGAGCAGCUGUGUUUAUUGGAACAAAGGGUGCUACCAAAAUGCAUCCCCAUGACCCACAGCCCCCCCCCACUCCCGUCCUUGGGUAGGGUACAGUGAGGUGGGGUGUUGGGUGGCCUGCUGCUCCUGCUGCUUUCGCCUAGAGUCCCGGCCUGGGCAAUCACGUGGCGGUCACUCCUGGAUGUGCUGUCCUAUCCAGCCUCUCACAGCUGCCACCCGGGUAUAGACACCUGGGAAGUGGGGCCGGCCGCAGCCAUAGCCCCAGCUGGUGACCCCAGUUAGCACCCAUCGUCCAGACGGCUCCCUGCAGGCCAGGGGUCCCCCAGCGUCACCCUGUUGGGGAGAGAAGCGGGGGUUCAGAGUCUGGUACCUCCCCUACAGCAGCCCUUGGGUCAUUGGCCCCCGUAGGGGUGACCGUAGUGAGUGGCUUCCCUUGGAAGCUGCAUUUUCACUAUCUGGAAAAUGGGCUCAAUGCAAAGGUGGUAGACAUUGAUGGACACCCUCCCCGUGGUCCCGGAGUGGAAUGGGGCCUCCCGCUGCAGCCUCUGCCUGCUCUGCCGUUGAGGCCCAGGGGUGGGAUGCGGUGGGUACCCAAUAAACGGUUGUGGAGUGGAAAUUCCUCCAGAGCCAAAAAG
ensembl:lncRNA